rnacentral:rRNA from 1 species
UACGUAGGCAGCAAGCGUUGUUCGGAGUUACUGGGCGUAAAGGGUGCGUAGGCGGCUUUUUAAGUUUGGUGUGAAAUCUCCCGGCUCAACUGGGAGGGUGCGCCGAAUACUGAGAGGCUAGAGUGUGGGAGAGGAAAGUGGAAUUCCUGGUGUAGCGGUGAAAUGCGUAGAUAUCAGGAGGAACACCGGGGGGGGAAACGGCUUUCUGGACCAUAACUGACGCUGAGGCACGAAAGCGUGGGUAGCAAACAGG